GGGGCAGUAGCUCAGUGGUAGAGCUCCCGCCUCAUAUGCGGGAAGACCUGGGUCCGAUCCCCGGCUGCUUCC
rnacentral:tRNA from 1 species